UAACCACUCAAGCCUCGGCUUGGUCUUGGGGUCCCGCGGUCUCGCGGCCCUUAAAAUCAGUGGCGGUGCCGUCUGGCUCUAAGCGUAGUAAUUCUCUCGCUAUAGGGUCCAGGUGGUGGCUUGCCAAAACCCCCCAUUUUUCUAUGG
rnacentral:misc_RNA from 1 species